rnacentral:rRNA from 1 species
ACUUGUCUAAGAUAAGCCAUGCACGUCUAAGUACAAACUAAAUGAUGGUGAAACUGCAAAUGGCUCAUUACAACGGUUAUGAUGUACCCGGGAGUUCCGAUGGAUAUUUCCAGUAACACUAGAACUAAUACAUGUCCCUGCGUUUAUUAGUUUCGCACAGUCCGUCGCUGAGUCAUGGUAAACAGUUGAUCGACUCGACGUCCCGGAACAGUUUCCGCCCCAUCAGCUUCGAUGGUUGGGUAUUGGCCUACCAUUGCAACAACGGGUAACGAGGAAUUAGGGUUUGAUUUCGGAGAGGGAGCCUGACAAACGGCUACCACAUCUACGGAUGGCAGCAGGCACGCAAAUUACCCAAUGCAGACACUGUGAGGUAGUGACGACAAAUAAUAAAGCGGGACUUCUGUUUCGCUAUUAUAAUGAGGAAUAACCAAAGGUCAUUCCGAUUACCAACUGAUGGGAAAGUCUGGUGCCAGCAGCCGCGGUAAUACCAGCGUCAGUAG